rnacentral:rRNA from 1 species
UACGAAGGGUGCAAGCGUUAAUCGGAAUUACUGGGCGUAAAGGGUGCGUAGGCGGUUCGUUAAGUCUGUCGUGAAAGCCCCGGGCUCAACCUGGGAACUGCAUUGGAUACUGGCGAUCUGGAGUGCGGUAGAGGGUGGCGGAAUUCCCGGUGUAGCGGUGAAAUGCGUAGAUAUCGGAAGGAACACCUGUGGCGAAAGCGGCUCACUGGACCAUAACUGACGCUGAGGCACGAAAGCUAGGGGAGCAAACAGG